rnacentral:rRNA from 1 species
GAUGAACGCUGGCGGCGUGCCUAAUACAUGCAAGUCGAGCGAACAGACGAGGAGCUUGCUCCUCUGACGUUAGCGGCGGACGGGUGAGUAACACGUGGAUAACCUACCUAUAAGACUGGGAUAACUUCGGGAAACCGGAGCUAAUACCGGAUAAUAUAUUGAACCGCAUGGUUCAAUAGUGAAAGACGGUUUUGCUGUCACUUAUAGAUGGAUCCGCGCCGCAUUAGCUAGUUGGUAAGGUAACGGCUUACCAAGGCAACGAUGCGUAGCCGACCUGAGAGGGUGAUCGGCCACACUGGAACUGAGACACGGUCCAGACUCCUACGGGAGGCAGCAGUAGGGAAUCUUCGGCAAUGGGCGAAAGCCUGACGGAGCAACGCCGCGUGAGUGAUGAAGGUCUUCGGAUCGUAAAACUCUGUUAUUGGGGAAGAACAAAUGUGUAAGUAACUAUGCACGUCUUGACGGUACCUAAUCAGAAAGCCACGGCUAACUACGUG